CAUUUUUCGCUCUAUCCCCUACUUUGCAAGUUUUUGCGUACGAAAACGCCAAAACAUGAAAAUUAGUAAAAACCUGGAUUUUACUAGAAAUGAGUAACGAACACAAAGAACGUAAAUCUACACAAACAAAUCUACACAAUUCAACACAACUACAUAGGCCCCUAUUAUGAGUUGCAUUCGAUCUUCGACUGUGGUCGAAUGCAUUGUGGAUUUGUACACAAUGGUCAAAUGUGCUGAUCGAACGAAUUUUCAUUUGGUAUUGGCUUUGUUUCUUUUCCUUUCAAGCAGAUAAUUAUCAGAAAGGAGAAUAAUGAGAAAAUUGAGGGAAAUACGCUCACAGAGAGCGAAAAAAAGAAAUAGUAAAGAAACGCAAAACUAGCAGAAACUAGCAAGUAAACAGCUGAUCGAUGUAUUUGACUACCCUGCCAGCCACGGCUCACCACUUUCCCCUGAAAUUCAAAUGAUUUACCAACACAUACCCAACUUUUUUGUCAUCUCACCCACACCCUCAAAAGUUGUCGAAAAAGGUUUCCAUAAGUAAGAGCAGCGUAGCUAUAAGAAUUCGCACUCUUAAUAAGAAUUAUAUGCGUUAGAGCGAGCAAGUGAAAAUCAGGCGAAAUUUGACAGCGAAUUUCAAAUUUGAUUCUAGUAGGCUGCGAAGAAAAACAUCAAUUUCGCGCAUAAUUUUGGAGUUAAGAAGCAAUUUAAUUUGAUUAAAUGUAAUUUUUCUUUUAUUAAAUACAUAUAUGUAUAUUUUAUAUAUCCAUAGAUAGCCAAACAUCAGCAGGAGACUUAAGCCAUCAGAACCUUGAAGAUUGCCAAACAUCAGCAACGACGCCCACAGCACAUUCAACGCCAUUGGUCGCCAACAACUCUCAACCCUACAACAUUCCAGCUACAUUGUUCGGUCGUGGAAUACAGACAGUAGAAGUCAGCGGAGAUUAGAUAUAUAUAUAAAUUUUAUCUGUUAUUAAUUUUAUUAUUAUAAUAUCUAAUAUAAUAAU